rnacentral:rRNA from 1 species
CCUACGGGUGGCAGCAGUGGGGAAUAUUGGACAAUGGGGGGAACCCCGAUCCAGCCAUGCCGCGUGUGUGAAGAAGGCCCUCGGGUUGUAAAGCACUUUCAGUGAGGAAGAACGCCUGGUGGUUAAUACCCAUCAGGAAAGACAUCACUCACAGAAGAAGCACCGGCUAACUCCGUGCCAGCAGCCGCGGUAAUACGGAGGGUGCGAGCGUUAAUCGGAAUUACUGGGCGUAAAGCGCGCGUAGGUGGCUUGAUAAGCCGGUUGUGAAAGCCCCGGGCUCAACCUGGGAACGGCAUCCGGAACUGUCAAGCUAGAGUGCAGGAGAGGAAGGUAGAAUUCCCGGUGUAGCGGUGAAAUGCGUAGAGAUCGGGAGGAAUACCAGUGGCGAAGGCGGCCUUCUGGACUGACACUGACACUGAGGUGCGAAAGCGUGGGUAGCAAACAGGAUUAGAUACCCCAGUAGUC